rnacentral:rRNA from 1 species
AAUAUUGCGCAAUGGGGGAAACCCUGACGCAGCGACGCCGCGUGAAGGAAGAAGGUCUUCGGAAUGUCAACUUCUUUAAUCGGGGACGAAGGAAGUGACGGUACCCGAGAAAAAAGCCUCGGCUAACUACGUGCCAGCAGCCGCGGUAAUACGUAGGUGGCGAGCGUUGUCCGGAAUUACUGGGUGUAAAGGGCGCGUAGGCGGGUAUGCAAGUCAGAUGUGAAACCCCGAGGCUCAACCUUGGGCUUGCAUCUGAAACUGUAUAUCUUGAGUGUUGGAGAGGGAAGUGGAAUUCCUAGUGUAGCGGUGAAAUGCGUAGAGAUUAGGAGGAACACCAGUGGCGAAGGCGACUUCCUGGCCAAUAACUGACGCUGAGGCGCGAAAGCGUGGGGAGCAAACAGG